UACAGAGGGUGCGAGCGUUGUCCGGAAUCACUGGGCGUAAAGGGCGCGUAGGUGGCGCGGCAAGCGUGCGGUGAAAGCCCGGGGCUCAACCCCGGGUCGGCCGUGCGAACUGCCGCGCUCGAGCAGAGUAGAGGCGGGUGGAAUUCCGGGUGUAGCGGUGGAAUGCGUAGAGAUCCGGAAGAACACCGGUGGCGAAGGCGGCCCGCUGGGCUCUGGCUGACACUGAGGCGCGACAGCGUGGGGAGCAAACAGG
rnacentral:rRNA from 1 species